rnacentral:lncRNA from 1 species
UUACCAUUGAUCUUGGUUUUUUCUUGUAGUGAUUAUUCAAGCUUUUUUAUUAUUAUUUGAAUAUUUGCUCUCUAAUUUUUUAUUUUUUUUUCCAUAAUAGAUAUCUUCUUAAAAAUACAGUGUUGUUGUUCUGUAAAUUUUAUGAACAUCUUUUGCUAUUUUUAACUUUUUUACACCCCCUGUUAUUUAUUCUGCACCCCCGACCUUUUAAUUUAUUUUUCAAUCAUAAAAAUAUCCUUCUUUUUUUAACAUAAAAAAACUAUAAAAAAAUUGAACUCAUCAAAUCAAAUUUUUGCCUUCGUGCGAUCAGAAAAAUCAAACUUUAUUUCUUUCGUGCCCAUGUCCACUCAAUUAUUUUUCUCAAACAGAUACUAUCCCCCAAGUGCGAGUCUGUCCUUAAAUAAACCAAAUCAUUUUUAUAAGCACCUAUUUAUACUUUUAAUGCAUAUUAAAUAAUUUGUAGUGUAAUUUGCAUAUUUUUUUGUAUGUUAAAAUUACUAUAUUAGUAAGGGUCAUGCUAAAGAGUGUCCUCGGGGCACUUGUUAAGCAUACAAAGAAAGGAAAUAAAAAAUAAAAUUAAUAUUGAAAUGAUAACUUUUGAUACUUUGUAUUGAAUGCACGCAUUUCAUGGCAUAAUUUCUAUUUUUAAAAGUUUAACCAGUGCCCGGGGCACUGUUUAGCAUUUUUCUAUGUGGGAUAAAAUACGACAGUGGUAGUGUAACUUACAUGGGACAAAUUAUGCUACUCAUUCAUAGAACUCAUAACAAUCUAAAAAUAACAAUCAUAUAUAUUAAAUAAAUC